rnacentral:rRNA from 1 species
ACGAACGCUGGCGGCGUGCCUAACACAUGCAAGUCGCACGAGAAAUCCUAGGGCAACCGGGAAAGUAAAGUGGCGCACGGGUGAGUAACGCGUGGGUAACCUGCCCUUGAGUUGGGGAUAACCCCGCGAAAGCGGGGCUAAUACCGAAUAAUAUGUCAGUCUCUAUGGGGAUUGAAAUCAAAGGUAGCCUCUGCAUGCAAGCUAUUGCUCAAGGAUGGGCCCGCGUACCAUUAGCUUGUUGGUAGGGUAAUGGCCUACCAAGGCAACGAUGGUUAGCUG